UACGUAGGUGACGAGCGUUAUCCGGAAUUACUGGGCGUAAAGCGCACGCAAGCGGUUGGACAAGUCUGGCGUGAAAUCUCCUGGCUUAACUAGGAGCGGUCGCUGGAAACUGUUCGGCUUGAGGCGAUGAGAGGGGUGCAGAAUUCCCGGUGUAGUGGUGGAAUGCGUAGAGAUCGGGAGGAACACCCGUGGCGAAGGCGGCCAACUGGGAUACACCUGACGCUGAGGCACGAAGGCGUGGGGAGCGAACGGG
rnacentral:rRNA from 1 species